rnacentral:rRNA from 1 species
AGUGAACGCUGGCGGUAGGCCUAACACAUGCAAGUCGAACGGCAUCUCAGUAAGAGCUUGCUCUUCUGGGAGGCGAGCGGCGGACGGUGGCCGAAUACAUCGGAAUAUAUCUUUUAGCGGGGAGUAACGUCGGGAGACCUACGUAAAUUCAGCAUACGACCUACGGGUGAAAGCAGGGGCUCUACCGCCUUUGCGCGAUCGAAUGCGCCGACCUCGAAUUAGCUAGUUGGCGGGGUAAAGGCGAACCAAGGCGGCAAUCCUUAGCUGAUCUGAGAGGAGGAUCAGCUACCCUGGAACUGAGACGCGGUCCAGACUCCUAGGGGGGGCAGCAGUGCAGAAUAUUGGACGAUGGGGGCAAGCCUGAUCCAGCCAUACCGCGUGAGUGCAGAAGGCCUUCGGGUUGUAAAGUCAUUUUGUGCGGAAAGAAAAGCAGCAGGUUCAUAUCCCGCUGUUCUGACGGUACCCAAAGAAUAAGCACCGGCUAACUUCGUG